UACGUAGGGACCGAGCGUUGUCCGGAUUCAUUGGGCGUAAAGAGCUCGUAGGCGGCCACUCAAGUCGAAUGUGAAACCUCGAGGCUUAACCUCGAGCCUGCAUUCGAUACUGGGCGGCUAGAGUCUGGUAGGGGGAUCUGGAAUUCCUGGUGUAGCGGUGGAAUGCGCAGAUAUCAGGAGGAACACCAAUAGCGAAGGCAGCUCGCUGGGACGUUACUGACACUGAGGCGCGAAAGCGUGGGGAGCGAACAGG
rnacentral:rRNA from 1 species